UACGAAGGGGGCUAGCGUUGUUCGGAAUUACUGGGCGUAAAGCGCGCGCAGGCGGUCUUCCAAGUCAGUGGUGAAAGCCCGGAGCUCAACUCCGGAACUGCCAUUGAAACUGUGAGACUGGAGUACGAGAGAGGUGAGUGGAAUUCCCAGUGUAGAGGUGAAAUUCGUAGAUAUUGGGAAGAACACCGGUGGCGAAGGCGGCUCACUGGCUCGUAACUGACGCUCAGGCGCGACAGCGUGGGGGAUCAAAACAGG
rnacentral:rRNA from 1 species